rnacentral:rRNA from 1 species
UACAGAGGGUGCAAGCGUUAAUCGGAAUUACUGGGCGUGAAGCGCACGUAGGUGGCUUGAUAAGUUGGGUGUGAAAUCCCCGGGCUUAACCUGGGAAUUGCAUUCAAGACUGUCUUGCUAGAGUGUGGAAGAGGGAAGCGGAAUUCCAGGUGUAGCGGUGAAAUGCGUAGAUAUCUGGAGGAACAUCAGUGGCGAAGGCGGCUUCCUGGUCCAACACUGACACUGAGGUGCGAAAGCGUGGGGAGCAAACAGG